GGCGCUUUGACGGAGUGGUUAACGUGAUUGACUCGAAACGGCUGGAAACGCCAUAGCUAUCAAUUUCCUUCGGGAGCGCAGGUUCGAAUCCUGCAGGCGUCG